rnacentral:tRNA from 1 species
CCACUGGUGGUUCAGUGGUAGAAUUCUUGCCUCCCAUGCCGGAGACCAGGGUUCAAUUCCCAGGCCAGCGCA